rfam:Triticum aestivum genome assembly, contig: Triticum_aestivum_CS42_TGACv1_scaffold_604328_7DL
UAUAUAUUCCCCCCUUUCCAAAUUACUCGUCGCAGAAAUGGAUGUAUCUAGAACUAAAAUACAUCUAGAUACAUCCAUAUCUGUGACAAGUAAUUCGGAACGGAGGGAGUAUAAC